rnacentral:rRNA from 1 species
UACGUAGGAUCCAAGCGUUGUCCGGAUUUACUGGGUGUAAAGGGUGCGCAGGCGGACUUAUAAGUCAGUGGGUGAAAUCUCACAGCUUAACUGUGAAACUGCCUUUGAUACUGUAGGUCUUGAAUUAGGGAGAGAUUCGUGGAAUUCCGAGUGUAGCAGUGAAAUGUGUAGAUAUUCGGAAGAACACCAGAGGCGAAGGCAGCGAAUUGGCCCUAUAUUGACGCUCAGGCACGAAAGCAUGGGGAUCAAACAGG